rnacentral:lncRNA from 1 species
AGUUGCAAAUGAGUAAGCGUACUCUCUCAUUAUUAUUGUUGCUAGCCAAACAUCGUAUCAUCGUGAGGUGGGCUUGGUAAUAGUGAGCCUCCCAUAACCUACUAGGAGUUUCAUCCAAAACUCUCGAAUUCCUUUGAGGGAUAUGGAAUUUGCCAAAAAUAGUGGGUGGUGCUAUUUGAUUUAAAGACCCGGAUCAAAUGGCUUAAAAUCAAUCAAUUUAUAUUCGUUAUGUAUUUGUUUACCAAUAUAUUUGCAAACGCUAUCCAACACUUGACAAAUAAAAACCGAAUGUUUUAAUUUCCGGACUUGGUACCACAAUCCCAAAGAAUGUCUUAAAAAGGAUUGCAUAUGUACCUAAGUAGUCUCAUCCUCACAAUCUUCCUAAUGAUAAUGUAUCAUUGGAAGAA